UGAGGAAUAUUGGUCAAUGGGCGGAAGCCUGAACCAGUCAUGCCGCGUGCAGGAAGACGGCCCUACGGGUUGUAAACUGCUUUUCCGGGGGAAGAAUAAGGCCCACGUGUGGGCCGAUGCCGGUACCCCGGGAAUAAGGAUCGGCUAACUCCGUGCCAGCAGCCGCGGUAAUACGGAGGAUCCGAGCGUUAUCCGGAUUUACUGGGUUUAAAGGGUGCGUAGGCGGGCGCUUAAGUCAGCGGUGAAAUGCGGGGGCUCAACCUUCGAACGGCCGUUGAUACUGGGUGCCUUGGAUUCGGUCGAGGCGGGCGGAAUGCGACAUGUAGCGGUGAAAUGCUUAGAUAUGUCGCAGAACGCCGAUUGCGAAGGCAGCUCGCCGGGCCGAUAUUGACGCUGAGGCACGAAAGCGUGGGGAUCGAACA
rnacentral:rRNA from 1 species